UUUGCCUGCUUGCCGUGUGGGACUGAGCAACUGCUAGAUCCUUGGACUUCCAUUCACAGCUCUUACUGACCAUUGUUGGGAGUUGGACUGCAGACUGAAUCCAGGACAGCAGCAGCCACAGAACAGAGCAUGGCACCCCUGAACUGGGAAAAGCCAAAGCAGGGCAAGGUGUUGGCACACACAACUACAGUCCCAGCUACUUGGAAUUUGGGUCAUGCGAGCCCCAGGAGUUUGAGGUCACACCAGGUAAGGUAAGAAAGUCUACUGGACUACCAGAGGGGUGGAGGGUUCCACUGCAGGGUUCUGGGUGGGUUCCUCACAUGGGAAAAGUCGUUUCCUGGGGUCUAGGAGCUUCACAGAGGAAGUG
ensembl:antisense Gm17151 predicted gene 17151